rnacentral:tRNA from 1 species
GUCCCUGUAGCGCAAUAGAUAGCGCGUUGGACUUAGAAUCCUAAAGUCGUGGGUUCGAAUUCCACUUGGGACG